rnacentral:rRNA from 1 species
UGAGUGCGAAUAUUAGCACAAUGGGCGAAAGCCUGAUGCAGCAACGCCGCGUGAGCGAUGAAGGCCUUCGGGUCGUAAAGCUCUGUCCUCAAGGAAGAUAAUGACGGUACUUGAGGAGGAAGCCCCGGCUAACUACGUGCCAGCAGCCGCGGUA